GCCAAUGUGGCGUAGCGGUUUCAGCGUUGGACUAUGACUCUAGAGACCAGGGUUCGAAUCCUGGCUCGGCCG